AACAUAAUGGUCUUAUGGUCUCGUUCUGUGGUCUCGUUGCCGAGAAGUUCUCUUGUUAAUUUCCUGUGCUACUUUGUUAGAAUUUGUAGCUUACAAGAUCAUCGAGUAGUGCGAGCGUCGACAUUCUAUUGUAAAAACUUCCAGAGCCAUUGUGUGUUUUGGAUAGAGCCGAUAUGAUAAAAAGUUUGUGGAUAAUGUUCGUUGAUAAAUUGCAAUGUGUUAAUGCUGAUCGACUUUGUCAUACUAACUCAUACUCAUACUAAGAGGUGUAAGCAACAAUAACAAGUUUCCUGAAGAAUGUUCCAGUCGGACAGUUGGAAACAAUUAUGUCUGUAUAAGUUGUGGAAUAUCUUUGGGAAGGCACUCACGAAGAUAAAAUCACAGGCCAUGGGCUUAUGGAAAGAAGUGAAGAGUGGUAUUAUAUAGAAAAACAAUCUCCGAGAUAGAUGCCUGAUGGAUGCCCAUGUAUGCGUUGUUUGCAGGAUGAGCUCACCUCAAAAGCAUUAAUAUCUAGCGAACAUAAAAGCUGUGUUAGGUGUGUUGUUGCAAUGUAUAUAGUUCUAUUUAUUAACCCCCCGACUCAAAAACAACGGGGUGUUAUAAGUUUGAAGUGUGUGUAUGUGUCUGUCUGUGGCAUCGUAGCUCCCAAACGGAUGAUCCAAUUUUAAUAUGUUUUUUUUUGUUUGUAAGUUAUAUUAGUCGAGAGUGUUCUUAGCUAUGUUUGGUAGAAAUCGGUUCAGGUCUUCAAGGUCAUCAGAAAUGUUUGUUAAGUAUGAUAGGAAUGUUACACGCUCAGUUUGCUUGCAAGCAUAGGUAUGUGGGAUAAGUUAUUUUUUGCUUUUUAUAGGGUUUUUAAUUUUUUCACCUUUUUUCAUAAUAAUUGAGUACUUUUGUUUUGUCGGGGUUUUUUUUUUGUUCCAAGAUGUUGGUAAA
rnacentral:lncRNA from 1 species